AACGAACGCUGGCGGCAUGCCUAACACAUGCAAGUCGAACGAACCUUUCGGGGUUAGUGGCGGACGGGUGAGUAACACGUGGGAACGUGCCUUUAGGUUCGGAAUAACUCAGGGAAACUUGUGCUAAUACCGAAUGUGCCCUUCGGGGGAAAGAUUUAUCGCCUUUAGAGCGGCCCGCGUCUGAUUAGCUAGUUGGUUGAGGUAAUGGCUCACCAAGGCGACGAUCAGUAGCUGGUCUGAGAGGAUGAUCAGCCACAUUGGGACUGAGACACGGCCCAAACUCCUACGGGAGGCAGCAGUGGGGAAUCUUGCGCAAUGGGCGAAAGCCUGACGCAGCCAUGCCGCGUGAAUGAUGAAGGUCUUAGGAUUGUAAAAUUCUUUCACCGGGGACGAUAAUGACGGUACCCGGAGAAGAAGCCCCGGCUAACUUCGUG
rnacentral:rRNA from 1 species